AUGGCAAAACCCUUUCUGUCUCUAGGUGUUUAUAGAGCACCAGCACCACAGAAACCAGGCACUGUAUUAAGAGGCCUCCACUCAAGCCCUGUCCCUCCAGGGGGCCUUUCGCUACCCUCUCUCUCUUCCAUGUCAUUAAGUUAUCACAGUGCAACAGUUAUGCCAGGACGUGCAAUAGCUCCAGUAUGGCCAUUGUUGAUGGUCUCUCAGAAGAAUAUCAGUUUAUCUUUCUCAGCUGAGCAAGAACUUCCUGUGUCCAACAUCAAACCAGUUUCAGUGCUGAUCUACGGUUACUAUAAAAGAGGCAAACACGUCUUGUUGAGUGCCGCACAGCCUGUGGUCAGACAUCUCACCCGGAAAGCAGCUGCAAGUCUGCAGCGAUUAGAGCAACAUGUGAGUGAUACUCUACAUAGAGAGUGAUAAGAGUGGGGAGAGGGGAAGGGGGGGGGGGGAGGAGGAGAGAGUGGGUGGCAUGCAGAGAUGUAGUUAAAUGAAAGGAAGAGCUGUUCCAAAUCCAAAAUGCUCUGAGACAGUUUGUAAGGUAUUUGGAAAUGAGCCCAUGUCACUGGAAAAAUAUACAAGAUUUUGCAGAUGUUGGGCUUGGAAAUGAAUCCCUUUUUACAGUGAAAAUAAACCUAUUCCUGAGCAGAAAAUGGGCCCA
rnacentral:lncRNA from 1 species